GAUAUCAGGAGGAACACCGAUGGCGAAGGCAGUUCUCUGGGCCGUAACUGACGCUGAGGAGCGAAAGCGUGGGGAGCGAACAGGAUUAGAUACCCUGGUAGUCCACGCCGUAAACGUUGGGCGCUAGAUGUGGGGACCUUUCCACGGUUUCCGUGUCGUAGCUAACGCAUUAAGCGCCCCGCCUGGGGAGUACGGCCGCAAGGCUAAAACUCAAAGGAAUUGACGGGGGCCCGCACAAGCGGCGGAGCAUGCGGAUUAAUUCGAUGCAACGCGAAGAACCUUACCAAGGCUUGACAUAACCGAGAACGCCGCAGAAAUGUGGAACUCUUUGGACACUCGGUUACAGGUGGUGCAUGGUUGUCGUCAGCUCGUGUCGUGAGAUGUUGGGUUAAGUCCCGCAACGAGCGCAACCCUCGUCGUAUGUUGCCAGCACGUGAUGGUGGGAACUCAUAUGAGACUGCCGGGGUCAACUCGGAGGAAGGUGGGGAUGACGUCAAAUCAUCAUGCCCCUUAUGUCUUGGGCUUCACGCAUGCUACAAUGGCCGGUACAAAGGGCUGCGAUGUCGUAAGGCGGAGCGAAUCCCAAAAAGCCGGUCUCAGUUCGGAUUGAGGUCUGCAACUCGACCUCAUGAAGUCGGAGUCGCUAGUAAUCGCAGAUCAGCAACGCUGCGGUGAAUACGUUCCCGGGCCUUGUACACACCGCCCGUCAAGUCAUGAAAGUCGGUAACACCCGAAGCCGGUGGCCUAACCCCUUGUGGGAGGGAGCCGUCGAAGGUGGGAUCGGUGAUUAGGACUAAGUC
rnacentral:rRNA from 1 species